rnacentral:rRNA from 1 species
AGUGAACGCUGGCGGUAGGCCUAACACAUGCAAGUCGAACGGCAGCACAGUAAGAGCUUGCUCUUACGGGUGGCGAGUGGCGGACGGGUGAGGAAUACAUCGGAAUCUACUUUUUCGUGGGGGAUAACGUAGGGAAACUUACGCUAAUACCGCAUACGACCUACGGGUGAAAGCAGGGGAUCUUCGGACCUUGCGCGAUUGAAUGAGCCGAUGUCGGAUUAGCUAGUUGGCGGGGUAAAGGCCCACCAAGGCGACGAUCCGUAGCUGGUCUGAGAGGAUGAUAGGCGACACUGGAACUGAGCCACGGUCCAGACUCCUACGGGAGGCAGCAGUGGGGAAUAUUGGACAAUGGGCGCAAGCCUGAUCCAGCCAUACCGCGUGGGUGAAGAAGGCCUUCGGGUUGUAAAGCCCUCUUGUUGGGAAAGAAAAGCAGCAGGUUAAUACCCCGCUGUUCUGACGGUACCCAAAGAAUAAGCACCGGCUAACUUCGUG